rnacentral:rRNA from 1 species
GGAUUGCAGGCUGCAACUCGCCUGCAUGAAGCUGGAAUUGCUAGUAAUCGCGGAUCAGCAAGCCGCGGUGAAUACGUUCCCGGGCCUUGUACACACCGCCCGUCACACCAUGAGAGUCGGGAACACCCGAAGUCCGUAGUCUAACCGCAAGGGGGGCGCGGCCGAAGGUGGGUCCGGUAAUUGGGGUGAAGUCGUAACAAGGUAUC